GUUCUAAUAGUUUAACUGAGAACGUACCGUUGAAGGUGGUGAGGUAAAAUUAUUUUUUAGGACG
rnacentral:tRNA from 1 species